rnacentral:rRNA from 1 species
AGGACGAACGCUGGCGGCGUGCCUAACACAUGCAAGUCGAACGGAGAAAUUAUUUCGGUAAUUUCUUAGUGGCGAAACGGGUGAGUAACACGUAAACAACCUGCCUUUUAGAUGGGGACAACAUCUCGAAAGGGAUGCUAAUACCGAAUGUUUUAGCUUUACCGCAUGGCAGAGCUAAUAAAGGUGGCCUCUAUUUAUAAGCUACCGCUGAAAGAUGAGCUCGCGUCUGAUUAGCUAGUUGGUGGGGUAACGGCCCACCAAGGCGACGAUCAGUAGCCGGUCUGAGAGGAUGAACGGCCACAUUGGGACUGAGACACGGCCCAAAACUCCUACGGAAGGCAGCAGUGGGGGAAUCUUCCGCAAUGGGCGCAAGCCUGACGGAGCAACGCCGCGUGAGUGAAGAAGGUUUUCGGAUCGUAAAGCUCUGUUGAGAGGGACGAGAGAUAUAAUCAGGAAAUGGGUUAUAGAGGACGGUACCUUUCGAGGAAGCCACGGCUAACUACGUG